GUGAAGAGCAUGAUAAUGAUCCAAAUGUAUGUUAACAAUUGGUCCAGUUUAGAAAUCUAAACAGGAAAGCUGAGGGGCCAUUUAGUUUAUACCCAGGCCCACCUCGCCAGAGAUGGUGCGUGCAGAUAUUUUGGCGAACGAUUCCCCUGCCCCUGUUUCGCCUGUCCGUGGACGCAGAAUGAAAGCAGCGACCAGUUUUUUUUGGCAUGACUCCUAUAAUUGGGUUUCAAUCUAAACAGUACCCAGUCAAUGCCGAACUUCUUACUCAAUAUGACUCCUCAGGUUUCAUUUGUUGGGGAGGCAGACAGAAACAACGAUAACUAAUAUUUUUUUCUUUUCACUCACAAUAAUAUUGUCAUCAGAUACAAUUGCUAUCAGAGUAUUGAUGUUUGUACUGAAGGAAGUCCAAAAGUCUUAUCGAUGCAGGCAAGACACUUGAUAUGACAAAUUUCAAGUGGAAACGAACAAAUAUUAUGCUUGUUCAUCGCUUGAUGUCUACCCUGACUAUUCUUUCAUUUAAAACUCGCUAAUAACAAGUUUUUACUCUGCUGUUAAAACUGAUGUUGCUAAUUCGGUUCAUAAAAUUAUUGUCGUUAUAA